GAUGAACGCUGGCGGCGUGCCUAAUACAUGCAAGUCGAGCGAACGGAUGAGGAGCUUGCUCCUCUGACGUUAGCGGCGGACGGGUGAGUAACACGUGGAUAACCUACCUAUAAGACUGGGAUAACUUCGGGAAACCGGAGCUAAUACCGGAUAAUAUAUUGAACCGCAUGGUUCAAUAGUGAAAGACGGUUUUGCUGUCACUUAUAGAUGGAUCCGCGCUGCAUUAGCUAGUUGGUAAGGUAACGGCUUACCAAGGCAACGAUGCAUAGCCGACCUGAGAGGGUGAUCGGCCACACUGGAACUGAGACACGGUCCAGACUCCUACGGGAGGCAGCAGUAGGGAAUCUUCCGCAAUGGGCGAAAGCCUGACGGAGCAACGCCGCGUGAGUGAUGAAGGUCUUCGGAUCGUAAAACUCUGUUAUUAGUGAAGAACAAAUGUGUAAGUAACUGUGCACAUCUUGACGGUACCUAAUCAGAAAGCCACGGCUAACUACGUG
rnacentral:rRNA from 1 species